AUUGAACGCUGGCGGCAGGCCUAACACAUGCAAGUCGAACGGUAACAGGAAGAAGCUUGCUUCUUUGCUGACGAGUGGCGGACGGGUGAGUAAUGUCUGGGGAACUGCCUGAUGGAGGGGGAUAACUACUGGAAACGGUAGCUAAUACCGCAUAACGUCGCAAGACCAAAGAGGGGGACCUUCGGGCCUCUUGCCAUCGGAUGUGCCCAGAUGGGAUUAGCUAGUAGGUGGGGUAACGGCUCACCUAGGCGACGAUCCCUAGCUGGUCUGAGAGGAUGACCAGCCACAGUGAAACUGAGACACGGCCGAGACUCCUAGGGGAGGCAGCGGGGGGGAAUUUUGCAAAAGGGGGGCAAGCCUGAUGCAGCAAGGCGGGGUGGAGGAAGAAGGCUUUGGGGUUGUAAAGUCCUUGGAGGGGGGGGGAAGGAAGAAAAGUAAAUACCUUGGCUCAUUAACUUUCCCCGAAGAAGAAGCACCGGCAAACCCCGU
rnacentral:rRNA from 1 species